GCAGGUGACUGUUUGGGGGAACUUGGGGACAGAGCCCCCAUUGUGCCCGCCCCAGAGCCGCCUCAAUGGAGCUCUCUGGCACAAAGGGGCUUUGACAAUGGGCAGGACAUUAGUAUGCAGAGCCAGCCCCUCAGCCCUCUCUCUCCCUGUCCCACAGCCCAGGGGCAGGAGAUACGGGACUGCUAGCCACGCCAGUGGAGGCAGGGGGUGGGGCAAGGCUGAGACUGAAGAGAUCUUAGACCACUGGGGGCUCUCCGGGGGGCACUGCCCAGGAGACAGGGCAGGGAAGCUAGACCAGGGUCCCCAAGCCUGACACUCUCCAGAAAGGACUUUCCAAGUGGAAAAAGCCACGGGGACUGGUCGGGAUGGGGGAGGAGGGGCUGUGGGAAGCCAGACCCCUUGGUUUCAGGCAGGCUCUGGAAAGAAGUGGUGGGCAGUCUGAGUCCACCCACUUUUUGCCUCAGUUUUACCCUUUUAUUCAAGGGAAUUGUGUGGGCAGGAGAAAAGAAACGGAGCAACAGGCAGCAAGAUCUCAAACCGAAGCCUGUGGCGUCUCAGAGCUGUCUUAGGGGCUGCGGGUGGGAUCUGAACCUCAGGAAUGCAGAAAGGGUGUGUACUCAGGACUCUCUGGUAACUGGGAUUCUGAUGAAGAUGGCUCCUGCAUCCCAGCUCAGGAGAAACUGCCUGAUGGGCCCAAAGGCCAGGACUAGCUCUUCCCCAGCGUGUAGCUGUCUGUCUCCUCAUCUGCCUCAUCCCCUGCUUCAUGCUGUAGUGAGAGGCUUCUCUUCUCCUGCCCAGAGGACCCCCCACCCCCACUAACAACCUCGGCACCACCAGCUGCCUUUCCCAAGUUGCUGUGAUGUUACUAUGUCCUCCCUGCUACCUGCCCUCAAGGCUUCCUGCUGUACCACCAUGGGCCCUGGAUGACUCACCUGGAUUGCUGGGGGAAAGUGUUCAGAGGAGUUUUCCAGAAUCAUACAUGACAUACAAUAUUGCCACAUGAUGAAUACAGACAUAGUUAUGAGAAAUCAAUUGUCUUCUGUUAGCCAGACGUUAAAAAGAUCUGUGAAAACGUGAGACAUUUUGCCACUCUUCUUACUAAACUUUUGUUUGUUUCUUAAAAAUAGCUAUG